ensembl:misc_RNA Metazoa_SRP Metazoan signal recognition particle RNA
UGUGUAUGUUAAAAACAAUAUGAAAUUCCAAUUACUUGAAGGGUAAGGUAGGAGGCUCACUUGAGCCUAGGAAUUCUGGGCUUGGCGUGCUGUGCCGAUGGGGUGUCUGCACCAAGUUUGGCAUCACCAUAGUGACCUCCCUGGAACAGGGGACCACCAGGUUGCCUAAGGAGGAGUGAACCCACCCAGGUUGUAAUGGAACAUGAAAACUCCCAUGCUGAUCAGCAGUGGGAUUGUGCCUGUGAAUAGCCACUGUACUCUAGUCUGGGCAAUAUAUUGAGACCCUGUCUCUU